UACCUCUCAGGGUCACACCUGGAAAGUUUCCUGUAUCCUACCAGUUUUGACUAUGGGAGGGAGAGUCAGGCAGGAGCAUAUCCAUUCCAUUCCUAGCUUGGGCAGUGGCUAGCUAGUGGAAGGCAAUCUGCCACAAAU